rnacentral:rRNA from 1 species
AACAGGGAUUGCCUUAGUAACGGCGAGUGAAGCGGCAACAGCUCAAAUUUGAAAGCUGGCCCUUUUAGGGUCCGCAUUGUAAUUUGUAGAGGAUGAUUCGGCGAGGGCUCCUGCCUAAGUCCCCUGGAACGGGGCGUCAUAGAGGGUGAGAAUCCCGUAUGCGGUAGGUUGCCUUAGCCAUGUGAAUCUCCUUCGACGAGUCGAGUUGUUUGGGAAUGCAGCUCUAAAUGGGAGGUAAAUUUCUUCUAAAGCUAAAUACCGGCCAGAGACCGAUAGCGCACAAGUAGAGUGAUCGAAAGAUGAAAAGCACUUUGGAAAGAGAGUUAAAAAGUACGUGAAAUUGUUGAAAGGGAAGCGCUUGCAACCAGACUUGUCCGCAGUUGCUCAGCCGGUCUCCUGACCGGCGUACUCUUCUGCGGCCAGGCCAGCAUCAGUUCGGGCGGUCGGAUAAAGGCCUCGGGAAUGUGGCUCCUCUCGGGGAGUGUUAUAGCCCGGGGUGCAAUGCGGCCAGCCUGGACUGAGGAACUCGCUUCGGCAAGGAUGCUGGCGUAAUGGUUGUAAGCGGCCCGUCUUGAAACACGGACCAAGGAGUCUAACAUCUAUGCGAGUGUUCGGGUGUCAAACCCGUACGCGUAAUGAAAGUGAACGGAGGUGGGAACCCGCAAGGGUGCACCAUCGGCCGAUCCUGAUGUCUUCGGAUGGAUUUGAGCAAGAGCAUAGCUGUUGGGACCCGAAAGAUGGUGAACUAUGCCUGAAUAGGGUGAAGCCAGAGGAAACUCUGGUGGAGGCUCGCAGCGGUUCUGACGUGCAAAUCGAUCGUCAAAUUUGGGUAUAGGGGCGAAAGACUAAUCGAACCAU